GGUGAAGAACGCAGCGAAAUGCGAUAAGUAAUGUGAAUUGCAGAAUUCAGUGAAUCAUCGAAUCUUUGAACGCACAUUGCGCCCCUUGGUAUUCCGAGGGGCAUGCCUGUUCGAGCGUCAUUAUAACCCUCAAGCUCAGCUUGGUGUUGGGGCCUGCUGCACUGGCAGCCCUUAAAAUCAGUGGCGGCGCCAUCUGGCUCUAAGCGUAGUAAUUCUUCUCGCUAUGGAGUCCUGGUGGAUGCUUGCCAUCAACCCCCAAUUUUUCUAUGGUUGACCUCGGAUCAGGUAGGGAUACCCGCUGAACUUAAGCAUAUCAAUAAGCGGAGGA
rnacentral:misc_RNA from 1 species